rnacentral:rRNA from 1 species
CCUACGGGAGGCAGCAGUGAGGAAUUUUGGACAAUGGGGGCAACCCUGAUCCAGCCAUGCCGCGUGCAGGAUGAAGGCCUUCGGGUUGUAAACUGCUUUUGUCGGGGACGAAAAGGACCGUGUUAAUACCAUGGUCUGCUGACGGUACCUGAAGAAUAAGCACCGGCUAACUACGUGCCAGCAGCCGCGGUAAUACGUAGGGUGCAAGCGUUAAUCGGAAUUACUGGGCGUAAAGCGUGCGCAGGCGGUUCUGUAAGACAGAUGUGAAAUCCCCGGGCUCAACCUGGGAAUUGCAUUUGUGACUGCAGGACUAGAGUUCAUCAGAGGGGGGUGGAAUUCCAAGUGUAGCAGUGAAAUGCGUAGAUAUUUGGAAG